rnacentral:tRNA from 1 species
GCGGCUGUAGCUCAGUUGGAUAGAGCGUCGGUCUACGAAACCGAAGGUCACAGGUUCGAAUCCUGUCAGCCGUA